rnacentral:rRNA from 1 species
AUUGAACGCUGGCGGCAUGCUUUACACAUGCAAGUCGAACGGUAACAGGCCUUCGGGUGCUGACGAGUGGCGAACGGGUGAGUAAUGCAUCGGAACGUACCCAGAGGUGGGGGAUAACGCAGCGAAAGCUGUGCUAAUACCGCAUGUGAUCUGAGGAUGAAAGCGGGGGACCGAGCAGCAAUGUUUGGCCUCGCGCCUUUGGAGCGGCCGAUGUCGGAUUAGCUAGUUGGUGGGGUAAAGGCCUACCAAGGCGACGAUCCGUAGCUGGUCUGAGAGGACGACCAGCCACACUGGGACUGAGACACGGCCCAGACUCCUACGGGAGGCAGCAGUGGGGAAUUUUGGACAAUGGGCGCAAGCCUGAUCCAGCAAUGCCGCGUGCGGGAAGAAGGCCUUCGGGUUGUAAACCGCUUUUGGCAGGAACGAAACGGUGUCCGCUAAUACCGGGCGCUAAUGACGGUACCUGCAGUAUAAGCACCGGCUAACUACGUG